rnacentral:lncRNA from 1 species
CUGAAGCGUGAUUUCAAAAAGAAAGCCAAAGCAAAAUUCAGCAUUGUUAAGAAUUGUGUUUCGUGAAUUUGUUUAAACACUGUUCACCUCAAUUCCCACCUCCCUGCUAUUUGGGAUCUACAAUGCUGUUGAAUUUACAAUGCCAGCUGACAAAGAAACAGUCUCGCAUCAAGUGCACAGGCUACUUCUUGAUUUCUGCUGAUAGAAACCUCAGUGAUGAAAGAGGAGCAGUAUCACUUGAGUCCAUGAAAUUCCCACUUGACUCCUAACAAUGGACUUGGGGAUAUCGGCAGCUGAGCCCUCAUCCUGGUUGCUCCCUUUUGAGUUCUAUGGAUCAAGGAAUUGAAGCUAGCCAAG